UCAUAUGGUAAAAGAAUCUGCCUGCAAUGCAGAAGUCCCAGGUUCGAUCCCUGG
rnacentral:tRNA from 1 species